rnacentral:rRNA from 1 species
UACGUAGGGUGCAAGCGUUGUCCGGAAUUAUUGGGCGUAAAGAGCUCGUAGGCGGUCUGUUGCGUCCGCUGUGAAAACCCGGGGCUUAACCCCUGGCUUGCAGUGGAUACGGACAGACUAGAGGUAGGUAGGGGAGAAUGGAAUUCCCGGCGUAGCGGUGAAAUGCGCAGAUAUCGGGAGGAACACCGGUGGCGAAGGCGGUUCUCUGGGCCUUACCUGACGCUGAGGAGCGAAAGCGUGGGGAGCAAACAGG